GAUGAACGCUGGCGGCGUGCCUAAUACAUGCAAGUCGAGCGAACAGAUGAGAAGCUUGCUUCUCUGAUGUUAGCGGCGGACGGGUGAGUAACACGUGGGUAACCUACCUAUAAGACUGGGAUAACUCCGGGAAACCGGGGCUAAUACCGGAUAAUAUUUUGAACCGCAUGGUUCAAUAGUGAAAGACGGUUUCGGCUGUCACUUAUAGAUGGACCCGCGCCGUAUUAGCUAGUUGGUAAGGUAACGGCUUACCAAGGCGACGAUACGUAGCCGACCUGAGAGGGUGAGCGGCCACAAUAGAACUGAGACACGGACCAGACUCCUACGGGAGGCAGCAGUAGGGAAUCUUCCGCAAUGGGCGAAAGCCUGACGGAGCAACGCCGCGUGAGCGAUGAAGGUCUUCGGAUCGUAAAACUCUGUUGUUAGGGAAGAACAAAUUUGUUAGUAACUGAACAAGUCUUGACGGUACCUAACCAGAAAGCCACGGCUAACUACGUGCCAGCCGCCGCCGUAA
rnacentral:rRNA from 1 species